rnacentral:rRNA from 1 species
UACGGGGGGGGGCAAGCGUUGUUCGGAAUUACUGGGCGUAAAGGGCUCGUAGGCGGCCAACUAAGUCAGACGUGAAAUCCCUCGGCUUAACCGGGGAACUGCGUCUGAUACUGGAUGGCUUGAGGUUGGGAGAGGGAUGCGGAAUUCCAGGUGUAGCGGUGAAAUGCGUAGAUAUCUGGAGGAACACCGGUGGCGAAGGCGGCAUCCUGGACCAAUUCUGACGCUGAGGAGCGAAAGCCAGGGGAGCGAAAGGG